AUUGAACGCUGGCGGCAGGCUUAACACAUGCAAGUCGAGCGGGGUGAUGGUGCUUGCACUAUCACUUAGCGGCGGACGGGUGAGUAAUGCUUAGGAAUCUGCCUAUUAGUGGGGGACAACAUCUCGAAAGGGAUGCUAAUACCGCAUACGUCCUACGGGAGAAAGCAGGGGAUCACUUGUGACCUUGCGCUAAUAGAUGAGCCUAAGUCGGAUUAGCUAGUUGGUGGGGUAAAGGCCUACCAAGGCGACGAUCUGUAGCGGGUCUGAGAGGAUGAUCCGCCACACUGGGACUGAGACACGGCCCAGACUCCUACGGGAGGCAGCAGUGGGGAAGAUUGGACAAUGGGGGGAACCCUGAUCCAGCCAUGCCGCGUGUGUGAAGAAGGCCUUAUGGUUGUAAAGCACUUUAAGCGAGGAGGAGGCUCUUUUGGUUAAUAUCCAAGAUGAGUGGACGUUACUCGCAGAAUAAGCACCGGCUAACUCUGUGCCAGCAGCCGCUGUAA
rnacentral:rRNA from 1 species